CCUACAGUCCAUUGGCCAAAAUGGGUCAGGCAGCCAUGCCCAAAGUCAAAGAGCAGGAAAGAUUACUCUACCUCGAGUGGGAGGGACUGCCACGUCACAGAAAGGGAUAUGGACACAGGGAGGAGUGGCAAGAAUUAGGACCAAUAAUUCAGUCCACCACAGAGUGGUGAAACAUGUUCACUGCCACUGGGAGACCCGAUGAGACAAGGACCGUGAACUGGCCACUAAUCUAGUCAAGACGUAGGGCACUGGCAUUCUUGGUAGGAGGUAUUACAAUAGAAUGGUGGAUCCGAGAACAGCGCAAGGAAGUUAAGAGUGUUUGCAGGGGAUUUCGCGUGCUGGAUUAUGAAAUCUCAGCUGGCUGAGAAGUGAAGACCUGAAGGGAGAUAAAUCCUGAAGAAACCGCAGAGCGAUGGCCUGGAAGUCUCUGAGAGAGGAAGAGUUAUUACGUGCUGAGAAGAGCUAAGUUAUCUACAUAACAAAGCAAUGCAGUGGGACGAGGAAGAGGUCCAGAGCAGGGAAAAGUCAGGAGCGUGUUCAGACUGUAGCCCAUUCGAGGCUGUGGAGCAGCUACAGGGCAGAGAAAACUGGGCUUGGAGGAAGAAGCCUCUGAGAGGGGCCGAUGUGAUUACAACCUGGAG